UGGACUUCAGCAUUGCCAGGGGCAGGGCC
rnacentral:sRNA from 1 species